rnacentral:lncRNA from 1 species
CAAAACCCUCUAGUUUCUUGUAGAGAGUAAAGUAUUGCUGUCUUCAUAUGAACUUCAGGGUAGAACGACAGUAGAAAUAUUUGCUGUGUGAAGAUUAACCUCUAUUUCAAAUGCCUAUCAUGAAACGCAGAAAUUUUUGUGAAUUCAGGAGAUACAGCUGCCUGUCUCUUCAGUAGGUAUGCAUGAAGACCAGAGGCCCUAACUGGGCUUCUGAGGCCAUAUGCAGUUGCUGGGAUYGUCGUACCUGGAUAAGCUCUCCUUCUCAAUUCGUAAUGAUGUCCAACCGGCAAAUGAUGCUUGCUGUUUUCUAAAGUCAGCUGAUGCAUAUUUACAUUGGUGAAGAAGAGGACAGACUCCGCAGCGUGCAGGACUUGCUUGUGCUCUUUUGUGUGAAGGCUGAGCCCGGCUGGGACUACACCCUGUGCUCACCCCUCAGCUGUUCAGUACCUGAUGGAAAAUUCCUGUUCAAUGCAAUCAGAAAGAGCCUUUUAAUUAUUUUUGUGUACCUAUUCCACUGAAUUUAAUCAGCAGUUACAUUCCUGCUGUAAGUUGGUAAGAGGCUUUAAAAAAAUCCAUCAUCUACUAAAUUCCAUGAAAUUAAAAUCUGCAGAAAUUGUCUAGAACCAGACUUGGUUCGGUUGUAUAAAAUGAUUCUCUAGAGUUACUAGCCUAAGUUAUUCUCAUCCCACAAAGAGGAAUUAAUUAAACAUGGACAAUAGAGGGGAAGAUGACACUUCUGGUGUGGUAGGGUUUUCUUCUUCUCACUGCACGUUGCACCACUUUUCAGCACAUUUGAGAUUUGAGUUUCUCCAGCCUUUCUCCCAAUUAAAUUAGAUUUUGUGAAGUCAACAGUACUUCCGUAAGUGGGAGCAUUCACAGUGGAUUUUUUUAAAGAUAAGCUCAAAGACAAGGGCAAAACUCCCAACGACUAGUGGGGACAGGAGCCACCUGCACGUCAGCCUUGUUGAGACAGCAGCAUCACUUUGCGCGUGGCAGGGGAGACUGACAUCUCACUGAGAGACAGAGGAGCAGGCUGCGAGUUAAACUAUUUAUCAGAUGUGUGCUGAAGUCUUGGCUAAAGAGCACGGUGCAGUUUGUGAAUAGCAGUGUUCAUGAGGUGUUACGUGUUGUCAGACCUUAUCAGGACAGGGUCCAAUUAAGGCCUGAUUAUACACUCACUGGGGCCACUGGGGCUUUUCUAAUAGCUGCAGAGAUUGCUUGGUCAGGCUUUAGGUAUGAAAGCAGAGGUCUGGUUUCCUACCAAAGUGUACAAGUAUCUCACAUGACAGGCCAUUUGUGCACAAGUGAAGGAAGGAGGAAGGUGUUAAGCAUGUGCUUUACUGAGCACCAGGCACUGGAGUGACUAUCUUUGCUCACUGGUGCUCUGUGAGAGUAAAGGUGUAUUAAAAGUUUUAUGCUGGGACUCCUCUGAACCCAAAAUGUCAAGAGGCAGGAAGGCAAAUGAAUUGAUUCUAAUGAAAGUGUAAUCCAAGGUGCUGUAAACCAGAUUUUUCUGUG